rnacentral:rRNA from 1 species
UCCUAACUCCUGGCUGUAGCCCGCGGUAUGUCGGGGGAUUCUAGUGUUAUCCGGAUUCUUUUGGUUUAAAGGUGGCGCAGUGGGAUAUAUAAGUCGGAGUUGAAAUUCUGAUGCUCAACAUCAGCCGUGCCUUCGAUACUGUAUAUCUAGAGUCAAGUUGGAGUAGGCGGAAUGUGUUGUGUAGCGGUGAAAUGCUUAGAUAUAACACAGAACACCGAUCGCGAAGGCAGCUUACUAAACUUUGACUGACGCUCAUGCACGAAAGCGUGGGGAUCAAACAGGAUUAGAUACCCCUGUAGUC